rnacentral:rRNA from 1 species
UACGAAGGGGGGCUAGCGUUGCUCGGAAUCACUGGGCGUAAAGGGUGCGUAGGCGGGUCUUUAAGUCAGGGGUGAAAUCCUGGAGCUCAACUCCAGAACUGCCUUUUGAUACUGAAGAUCUUGAGUUCGGGAGAGGUGAGUGGAACUGCGAGUGUAGAGGUGAAAUUCGUAGAUAUUCGCAAGAACACCAGUGGCGAAGGCGGCUCACUGGCCCGAUACUGACGCUGAGGCACGAAAGCGUGGGGGAGCAAACAGG